GAUGAACGCUGGCGGCGUGCCUAAUACAUGCAAGUCGAGCGAACGGACGAGGAGCUUGCUUCUCUGAUGUUAGCGGCGGACGGGUGAGUAACACGUGGAUAACCUACCUAUAAGACUGGGAUAACUUCGGGAAACCGGAGCUAAUACCGGAUAAUAUUUUGAACCGCAUGGUUCAAAAGUGAAAGACGGUCUUGCUGUCACUUAUAGAUGGAUCCGCGCUGCAUUAGCUAGUUGGUAAGGUAACGGCUUACCAAGGCAACGAUGCAUAGCCGACCUGAGAGGGUGAUCGGCCACACUGGAACUGAGACACGGUCCAGACUCCUACGGGAGGCAGCAGUAGGGAAUCUUCCGCAAUGGGCGAAAGCCUGACGGAGCAACGCCGCGUGAGUGAUGAAGGUCUUCGGAUCGUAAAACUCUGUUAUUAGGGAAGAACAUAUGUGUAAGUAACUGUGCACAUCUUGACGGUACCUAACCAGAAAGCCACGGCUAACUACGUGCCAGCAGCCGCGGUAAUACGUAGGUGGCAAGCGUUAUCCGGAAUUAUUGGGCGUAAAGCGCGCGUAGGCGGUUUUUUAGUCUGAUGUGAAAGCCCACGGCUCAACCGUGGAGGGUCAUUGGAAACUGGAAAACUUGAGUGCAGAAGAGGAAAGUGGAAUUCCAUGUGUAGCGGUGAAAUGCGCAGAGAUAUGGAGGAACACCAGUGGCGAAGGCGACUUUCUGGUCUGUAACUGACGCUGAUGUGCGAAAGCGUGGGGAUCAAACAGGAUUAGAUACCCUGGUAGUCCACGCCGUAAACGAUGAGUGCUAAGUGUUAGGGGGUUUCCGCCCCUUAGUGCUGCAGCUAACGCAUUAAGCACUCCGCCUGGGGAGUACGACCGCAAGGUUGAAACUCAAAGGAAUUGACGGGGACCCGCACAAGCGGUGGAGCAUGUGGUUUAAUUCGAAGCAACGCGAAGAACCUUACCAAAUCUUGACAUCCUUUGACAACUCUAGAGAUAGAGCUUUCCCCUUCGGGGGACAAAGUGACAGGUGGUGCAUGGUUGUCGUCAGCUCGUGUCGUGAGAUGUUGGGUUAAGUCCCGCAACGAGCGCAACCCUUAAGCUUAGUUGCCAUCAUUAAGUUGGGCACUCUAAGUUGACUGCCGGUGACAAACCGGAGGAAGGUGGGGAUGACGUCAAAUCAUCAUGCCCCUUAUGAUUUGGGCUACACACGUGCUACAAUGGACAAUACAAAGGGCAGCGAAACCGUGAGGUCAAGCAAAUCCCAUAAAGUUGUUCUCAGUUCGGAUUGUAGUCUGCAACUCGACUACAUGAAGCUGGAAUCGCUAGUAAUCGUAGAUCAGCAUGCUACGGUGAAUACGUUCCCGGGUCU
rnacentral:rRNA from 1 species